ACGGGGAAUGUGAUGCGACAACACCGCAUUCAUUUGGCGUCAAGCCUGCACAUACCCAGACGACGCUUUGUUCAACUGACCAAAUGCUUUAUUUUUUGCAUUUUUACGUACAAUGGUAAUGUUGUAUCUGAUUUAUUUGGACUUUUUAUUCAACAUGAAUGCGAAGGGUCAAACCUUUCCAGAACAGCCUAGAAGCUAGGUGAAGCUAACAAGCAAAUUGCCGCGGUUUUAUGUUUAAGAAAUCACUACAUGUUUAGCAUUCCAUACCGUUGUCAUUUUUCAUUCAGAAACCCUUCACAUUUCUUAUUCUAGCUUGACAUUUUCAUGAAAAUGUGAAAGUUUAAUCCUGUCCAUCCUUAACUGGCUUGCAGUUUAGGCUAGGCUAACCACGUGUUGCUGUUAAGAUGUUUGACAGAAAGCUACACAACAGCAGGGUGUUUGAUUUGCAUGCAUGCUAGCCACUUAUUUGCAUGCUAGCGCUAACUGUGUUUUGAAUCUCUCUGAGCUAACUACCCCCAAGGAAGCUGGGUGUUUGAUUCCAACGUUUGAAUAGUACCAAAGACCUCCUGGAACUACGUAGUUGAAUUUCGCCAUUUGCCAAUCACAUUGUUGUUUCUCGACCGCAACAGUACCAGACAUAUUGAUCGUCACCAGUUUGACUUAGCGACAACAUGACAGUGACAGAUUGGUGUCACAGAGGUCGAGUCAAUGAAAUCCUUUCCUGUCGGCCUACCAGGCAGAUGAACGGCGUGAAAAACUUCCAACAGAGCUUCCACCAAACGCAAGGAACAGAAGAAUUGGGAUGCGUGGCCAUCACACCGACAGGAAGUGAAAAUACGGAGCCAGCUAUAAUCUAACACAAACAGGCCGCCGAGCGCCAACCGGGACCCACCACUGUGAACGACGUCCUCCACCGCCAGGUCCAAGUUGAACGCCAUGAAGCCCAGCGUGGAGAACACCACAAAGCCGGCGAAGAUGCUGGUGGCGCUGUUCAAAAGGCACAGCGCCACGCAGUCCCUGUUGCGAGCGCACACCGCCUGCUGAAGUCGGGAAAGAGGUAGUAUUUCAGGCCCUCGCCGGCACCGGGCAGCGACACCCCUCGGAUGAAGAGGAUGAUGAGCAUCAGAAUUCCUCCUCGGCGGACUUCACCAUGAAGAAGGAUUCAUUCAGGGAUCUGCAGAGGUGGAGCAGAGCACACAAUGAGCAAGUCAAGGACGGCGACGAGUCAACAAUUACCGAACAGACGCAAAAGCGGAGCAGCACGAUGUUUUCCCAGCGAGUUUCUUUUGGAUCGGUCGCACACAUUCGAUGACGGAGCCAGAUGCUACUCGCCGCUCACCGGUGUUCCACGCAUUGUCGCACGUGGACCAGGGAAGUGGGCUCUGGAAGGAAUUGAACAGGUAGAAGAGGACCCAGGCCAGCACUACGAUGUAGUAGAUGU